GCCGGUGACUAUGGCGGUGGGGCCACACCUGUUCCCAUUCCGAACACAGAAGUUAAGCCCACCUGCGCCUAUGGUACUGCGCGGGCAACUGCGUGGGAGAGUCGGUCGUCGCCGGCA
rnacentral:rRNA from 1 species